AACGAACGCUGGCGGCGUGCUUAACACAUGCAAGUCGAACGCGAAAGGGACUUCGGUCCUGAGUAAAGUGGCGCACGGGUGAGUAACGCGUAGAUAACCUGUCUUCAUGUCUGGAAUAAUACGCCGAAAGGGGUACUAAUACCGGAUAUUCUUGCUUUUCAUAAGUUAUGCAAGCAAAGGUGGCCUCUGCAUAUGCUACUGCAUGAAGAGGGGUCUGCGUACCAUUAGCUAGUAGGUGGGGUAAUGGCCUACCUAGGCGACGAUGGUUAGCGGGUCUGAGAGGAUGAUCCGCCACACUGGCACUGGAACACGGGCCAGACUCCUACGGGAGGCAGCAGUGAGGAAUAUUGCGCAAUGGGGGAAACCCUGACGCAGCGACGCCGCGUGAGUGAAGGAAGGCCUUCGGGUCGUAAAGCUCUGUCAAGAGGAAAGAAGUGUACAAUGGCUAAUACCUGUUGUAUUUGACGGUACCUCCAAAGGAAGCACCGGCUAACUCCGUGCCAGCAGCCGC
rnacentral:rRNA from 1 species